ACAUACCCUUGGUUCGGAAUAACUGAGAGACAUUUCAGCUAAUACCGGAUGUGCCCUAUGGGGGAAGAUUCAUCGCCAAAGGAUUGGCCCGCGUCUGAUUAGCUAGUUGGUGAGGUAACGGCUCACCAAGGCGACGAUCAGUACGUGGUCUGAGAGGAUCGAUCACGCCACACUGGGACUGAGACACGGUCCCAGACUCCUACCGGGAGGCAGCAAUGGGGAAUAUUGGACAAUGGCGGGCAACCUGAUCCAGCCAUGCUGCUUGANNUGAUGAAGGCCUUAGGGUUGUAAAGCUCUUUCGUCAGGGAGAUNAUGACGGUACCUGAGAAGAAGCCCCGGCUAACUUCGUGCCAGCAGCCGCGGUAAUACGAGAGGGGGCUAGCGUUGUUCGGAAUUACUGGGYGUAAAGCGCACGUAGGCGGACAUUUAAGUCAGGGGUGAAAUCCCAGGGCUCAANCCNCUGGAACUGCCUUUGAUACUGGGUGUCUNGANUACGAGAGACAGCUACGGCUUUAAGCAUUCCCGCCUGGGGAGUACGGUCGCAAGAUUNAAAACUCAAAGGAAUUGACGGGGGCCCGCACAAGCGGUGGAGCAUGUGGUUUAAUUCGAAGCAACGCGCACAGAACCUUACCAGNCCUUGGACAUCCGUCGACCGUCGCAGAGAUGCGUUUUUCCCUUCGGGGACGGCGAGACAGGUGCUGCAUGGCUUGUCGUCAGCUCGUGUCGUGAGAUGUUGGGUUAAGUCCCGCAACGAGCGCAACCUCGCUCUUCAGUNGCCANCAUUGGUUGGGCACUCUGGAGGGACUGCCGGUGAUAAGCCGGAGGAAGGUGGGGAUGANNGUCAAGUCCUCAUGGCCCUUACGGGCUGGGCUACACACGAUGCUACAAUGGCGGUGACAAUGAGCAGCGACUUCGCGAGGAGAAGCUAAUCCUCANAAAGCCGUCUCAGUUCGGAUUGCACUCUGCAACUCGAGUGCAUGAAGUCGGAAUCGCUAGUAAUCGNGUAACAGCAUGACGCNNUUGAAUUACNUUUCCCGGGCCUUGUACACACCGCUCGUCACACCA
rnacentral:rRNA from 1 species